CAGGGAGACAAAAACUGAUCUUGAUGUUUGAUUAUUUUAUUUUUAAGCCAAGAUCCUGUCACUUUAGGUCGAUCGGUACCUCAAAUUAAUUAACGAGUUUAUUCAUAUUUUGAAUAAAUUAAAUUAUUAAUUUCAGUUCCUAAACUUGUCUAGGUCACACCCCACAAGGGUUACUCCUGGGCCAUUAGCUCAGGUGGUUAGAGCGCACCCCUGAUAAGGGUGAGGUCCCUGGUUCAAGUCCAGGAUGGCCCAUUCGGUGUUGGGGGUAUAGCUCAGUUGGUAGAGCGCCUGCUUUGCAAGCAGGAUGUCAGCGGUUCGAGUCCGCUUACCUCCACUGGCCGACCCCUUUCAGCGAUUUAGUCUGAGGCCCUUUGUGUGAUGUAUGUGAUUUAGAAAGUCCGCUGAUUUGAACCUAGCUUCCUCUCAUCCCAUUCCUUGAUUAGGUAAGGUUGAUAGGACGCUGGGCUCACUCCACUCCUGAAAUGGAAGGAGGUAGUUCAGUAGAACCUUGACAACUGCAUAGUGAGUCUGGAAAAAAUAAAGCAUCUCAUGGAUGCAUUAUUUUACCUCUAAUUCUUAAGCUUCUAGCUAGAGAAUUAAGGUGAAUUAGUGUUAUUUCUUGAGCAAGAGCCGAGACUCUAUAGUUUUCUUCUUAUUUAUUCAUAAUAUAAGGAGUUUGAUUUUUAAUUCAGUUUUUCUGAUGAUUAGAUGUUUUCUAAUUUAUCUAAAGAAUAAAUUUGAAUUAAAGAGAAUAGCGUUUUCAACUACGCAUUUUCUAUAGAGAUUAAUUU
rnacentral:tRNA from 1 species